rnacentral:tRNA from 1 species
GUGGCUGUAGCUCAACGGCAGAGCGCCUCCCUGUGGAGGAGGAUGUUGCCGGUUCAAAUCCGGUCAGCCACC